rnacentral:rRNA from 1 species
UACGGAGGGUGCAAGCGUUAUCCGGAUUCACUGGGUUUAAAGGGUGCGUAGGUGGGCAGGUAAGUCAGUGGUGAAAUCUCCGAGCUUAACUCGGAAACUGCCGUUGAUAUUAUUUGUCUUGAAUAUUGUGGAGGUAAGCGGAAUAUGUCAUGUAGCGGUGAAAUGCUUAGAUAUGACAUAGAACACCAAUUGCGAAGGCAGCUUACUACACAACGAUUGACGCUGAGGCACGAAAGCGUGGGGAUCAAACAGG